AUGCUCGCUUUGGCAGCACAGACACAAAAAUUGGAAUGAUACGGAAAAGACUGGCAUGGCCCCCUGUGCAAGGAUGACAUACAAAUCUGCAAAGUGUUCCAUAUUUUU
rfam:Erinaceus europaeus unplaced genomic scaffold scaffold00338, whole genome shotgun sequence